rnacentral:tRNA from 1 species
GCGAGUGUGCUGGAACUGGCAGACAGGCACGUUUGAGGGGCGUGUGUCUUAUGGCGUAUGGGUUCAAGUCCCAUUACUCGCA